ACGAACGCUGGCGGCGUGCUUAACACAUGCAAGUCGAACGGAAAGGCCCUGCUUUUGUGGGGUGCUCGAGUGGCGAACGGGUGAGUAACACGUGAGUAACCUGCCCUUGACUUUGGGAUAACUUCAGGAAACAGGGGCUAAUACCGGAUAGGAGCUCCUGCUGCAUGGUGGGGGUUGGAAAGUUUCGGCGGUUGGGGAUGGACUCGCGGCUUAUCAGCUUGUUGGUGGGGUAGUGGCUUACCAAGGCUUUGACGGGUAGCCGGCCUGAGAGGGUGACCGGCCACAUUGGGACUGAGAUACGGCCCAGACUCCUACGGGAGGCAGCAGUGGGGAAUAUUGCACAAUGGGCGGAAGCCUGAUGCAGCAACGCCGCGUGCGGGAUGACGGCCUUCGGGUUGUAAACCGCUUUCGCCUGCGACGAAGCGUGAGUGACGGUAAUGGGUAAAGAAGCACCGGCUAACUACGUG
rnacentral:rRNA from 1 species